rnacentral:rRNA from 1 species
UACGUAGGUGGCAAGCGUUGUCCGGAUUUAUUGGGUUUAAAGGGUGCGUAGGCGGUCUUCUAAGUCAGUUGUGAAAUACUUCAGCUUAACUGGAGAGGUGCAAUUGAUACUGGGAGACUUGAGUACUGAUGAGGUAGGCGGAAUGGACGGUGUAGCGGAUGAAAUGCUUAGAUAUCGUCCAGAACACCGAUAGCGAAGGCAGCUUACUAAGGAGUAACUGACGCUGAGGCACGAAAGUGUGGGGAUCAAACAGG